GUUAAGCGACUAAGCGUACACGGUGGAUGCCCUGGCAGUCAGAGGCGAUGAAGGACGUGCUAAUCUGCGAUAAGCGUCGGUAAGGUGAUAUGAACCGUUAUAACCGGCGAUUUCCGAAUGGGGAAACCCAGUGUGAUUCGUCACACUAUCAUUAACUGAAUCCAUAGGUUAAUGAGGCGAACCGGGGGAACUGAAACAUCUAAGUACCCCGAGGAAAAGAAAUCAACCGAGAUUCCCCCAGUAGCGGCGAGCGAACGGGGAGGAGCCCAGAGCCUGAAUCAGUGUGUGUGUUAGUGGAAGCGUCUGGAAAGGCGCGCGAUACAGGGUGACAGCCCCGUACACAAAAAUGCACAUAUUGUGAGCUCGAUGAGUAGGGCGGGACACGUGGUAUCCUGUCUGAAUAUGGGGGGACCAUCCUCCAAGGCUAAAUACUCCUGACUGACCGAUAGUGAACCAGUACCGUGAGGGAAAGGCGAAAAGAACCCCGGCGAGGGGAGUGAAAAAGAACCUGAAACCGUGUACGUACAAGCAGUGGGAGCCUCUUUAUGGGGUGACUGCGUACCUUUUGUAUAAUGGGUCAGCGACUUAUAUUCUGUAGCAAGGUUAACCGAAUAGGGGAGCCGAAGGGAAACCGAGUCUUAACUGGGCGUUAAGUUGCAGGGUAUAGACCCGAAACCCGGUGAUCUAGCCAUGGGCAGGUUGAAGGUUGGGUAACACUAACUGGAGGACCGAACCGACUAAUGUUGAAAAAUUAGCGGAUGACUUGUGGCUGGGGGUGAAAGGCCAAUCAAACCGGGAGAUAGCUGGUUCUCCCCGAAAGCUAUUUAGGUAGCGCCUCGUGAAUUCAUCUCCGGGGGUAGAGCACUGUUUCGGCAAGGGGGUCAUCCCGACUUACCAACCCGAUGCAAACUGCGAAUACCGGAGAAUGUUAUCACGGGAGACACACGGCGGGUGCUAACGUCCGUCGUGAAGAGGGAAACAACCCAGACCGCCAGCUAAGGUCCCAAAGUCAUGGUUAAGUGGGAAACGAUGUGGGAAGGCCCAGACAGCCAGGAUGUUGGCUUAGAAGCAGCCAUCAUUUAAAGAAAGCGUAAUAGCUCACUGGUCGAGUCGGCCUGCGCGGAAGAUGUAACGGGGCUAAACCAUGCACCGAAGCUGCGGCAGCGACACUAAGUGUUGUUGGGUAGGGGAGCGUUCUGUAAGCCUGUGAAGGUGUGCUGUGAGGCAUGCUGGAGGUAUCAGAAGUGCGAAUGCUGACAUAAGUAACGAUAAAGCGGGUGAAAAGCCCGCUCGCCGGAAGACCAAGGGUUCCUGUCCAACGUUAAUCGGGGCAGGGUGAGUCGACCCCUAAGGCGAGGCCGAAAGGCGUAGUCGAUGGGAAACAGGUUAAUAUUCCUGUACUUGGUGUUACUGCGAAGGGGGGACGGAGAAGGCUAUGUUGGCCGGGCGACGGUUGUCCCGGUUUAAGCGUGUAGGCUGGUUUUCCAGGCAAAUCCGGAAAAUCAAGGCUGAGGCGUGAUGACGAGGCACUACGGUGCUGAAGCAACAAAUGCCCUGCUUCCAGGAAAAGCCUCUAAGCAUCAGGUAACAACAAAUCGUACCCCAAACCGACACAGGUGGUCAGGUAGAGAAUACCAAGGCGCUUGAGAGAACUCGGGUGAAGGAACUAGGCAAAAUGGUGCCGUAACUUCGGGAGAAGGCACGCUGAUAUGUAGGUGAAGCGACUUGCUCGUGGAGCUGAAAUCAGUCGAAGAUACCAGCUGGCUGCAACUGUUUAUUAAAAACACAGCACUGUGCAAACACGAAAGUGGACGUAUACGGUGUGACGCCUGCCCGGUGCCGGAAGGUUAAUUGAUGGGGUUAGCGGUAACGCGAAGCUCUUGAUCGAAGCCCCGGUAAACGGCGGCCGUAACUAUAACGGUCCUAAGGUAGCGAAAUUCCUUGUCGGGUAAGUUCCGACCUGCACGAAUGGCGUAAUGAUGGCCAGGCUGUCUCCACCCGAGACUCAGUGAAAUUGAACUCGCUGUGAAGAUGCAGUGUACCCGCGGCAAGACGGAAAGACCCCGUGAACCUUUACUAUAGCUUGACACUGAACAUUGAGCCUUGAUGUGUAGGAUAGGUGGGAGGCUUUGAAGUGUGGACGCCAGUCUGCAUGGAGCCGACCUUGAAAUACCACCCUUUAAUGUUUGAUGUUCUAACGUUGGCCCCUUAUCGGGGUUGCGGACAGUGUCUGGUGGGUAGUUUGACUGGGGCGGUCUCCUCCUAAAGAGUAACGGAGGAGCACGAAGGUUGGCUAAUCCUGGUCGGACAUCAGGAGGUUAGUGCAAUGGCAUAAGCCAGCUUGACUGCGAGCGUGACGGCGCGAGCAGGUGCGAAAGCAGGUCAUAGUGAUCCGGUGGUUCUGAAUGGAAGGGCCAUCGCUCAACGGAUAAAAGGUACUCCGGGGAUAACAGGCUGAUACCGCCCAAGAGUUCAUAUCGACGGCGGUGUUUGGCACCUCGAUGUCGGCUCAUCACAUCCUGGGGCUGAAGUAGGUCCCAAGGGUAUGGCUGUUCGCCAUUUAAAGUGGUACGCGAGCUGGGUUUAGAACGUCGUGAGACAGUUCGGUCCCUAUCUGCCGUGGGCGCUGGAGAACUGAGGGGGGCUGCUCCUAGUACGAGAGGACCGGAGUGGACGCAUCACUGGUGUUCGGGUUGUCAUGCCAAUGGCACUGCCCGGUAGCUAAAUGCGGAAGAGAUAAGUGCUGAAAGCAUCUAAGCACGAAACUUGCCCCGAGAUGAGUUCUCCCUGACCCUUUAAGGGUCCUGAAGGAACGUUGAAGACGACGACGUUGAUAGGCCGGGUGUGUAAGCGCAGCGAUGCGUUGAGCUAACCGGUACUAAUGAACCGUGAGGCUUAACC
rnacentral:rRNA from 1 species